AGAGUUUGAUCCUGGCUCAGGAUGAACGCUAGCUACAGGCUUAACACAUGCAAGUCGAGGGGCAUCAGGAAGAAAGCUUGCUUUCUUUGCUGGCGACCGGCGCACGGGUGAGUAACACGUAUCCAACCUGCCCUUUACUCGGGGAUAGCCUUUCGAAAGAAAGAUUAAUACCCGAUAGCAUAAUGAUUCCGCAUGGUUUCAUUAUUAAAGGAUUCCGGUAAAGGAUGGGGAUGCGUUCCAUUAGGUUGUUGGUGAGGUAACGGCUCACCAAGCCUUCGAUGGAUAGGGGUUCUGAGAGGAAGGUCCCCCACAUUGGAACUGAGACACGGUCCAAACUCCUACGGGAGGCAGCAGUGAGGAAUAUUGGUCAAUGGGCGCUAGCCUGAACCAGCCAAGUAGCGUGAAGGAUGAAGGCUCUAUGGGUCGUAAACUUCUUUUAUAUAAGAAUAAAGUGCAGUAUGUAUACUGUUUUGUAUGUAUUAUAUGAAUAAGGAUCGGCUAACUCCGUGCCAGCAGCCGCGGUAAUACGGAGGAUCCGAGCGUUAUCCGGAUUUAUUGGGUUUAAAGGGAGCGUAGGUGGACUGGUAAGUCAGUUGUGAAAGUUUGCGGCUCAACCGUAAAAUUGCAGUUGAUACUGUCAGUCUUGAGUACAGUAGAGGUGGGCGGAAUUCGUGGUGUAGCGGUGAAAUGCUUAGAUAUCACGAAGAACUCCGAUUGCGAAGGCAGCUCACUGGACUGCAACUGACACUGAUGCUCGAAAGUGUGGGUAUCAAACAGGAUUAGAUACCCUGGUAGUCCACACAGUAAACGAUGAAUACUCGCUGUUUGCGAUAUACAGUAAGCGGCCAAGCGAAAGCAUUAAGUAUUCCACCUGGGGAGUACGCCGGCAACGGUGAAACUCAAAGGAAUUGACGGGGGCCCGCACAAGCGGAGGAACAUGUGGUUUAAUUCGAUGAUACGCGAGGAACCUUACCCGGGCUUAAAUUGCAGUGGAAUGAUGUGGAAACAUGUCAGUGAGCAAUCACCGCUGUGAAGGUGCUGCAUGGUUGUCGUCAGCUCGUGCCGUGAGGUGUCGGCUUAAGUGCCAUAACGAGCGCAACCCUUAUCUUCAGUUACUAACAGGUCAUGCUGAGGACUCUGGAGAGACUGCCGUCGUAAGAUGUGAGGAAGGUGGGGAUGACGUCAAAUCAGCACGGCCCUUACGUCCGGGGCUACACACGUGUUACAAUGGGGGGUACAGAAGGCAGCUAGCGGGUGACCGUAUGCUAAUCCCAAAAGCCUCUCUCAGUUCGGAUCGAAGUCUGCAACCCGACUUCGUGAAGCUGGAUUCGCUAGUAAUCGCGCAUCAGCCACGGCGCGGUGAAUACGUUCCCGGGCCUUGUACACACCGCCCGUCAAGCCAUGGGAGCCGGGGGUACCUGAAGUACGUAACCGCAAGGAUCGUCCUAGGGUAAAACUGGUGACUGGGGCUAAGUCGUAACAAGGUAGCCGUACCGGAAGGUGCGGCUGGAACACCUCCUUU
rnacentral:rRNA from 1 species